UUGAGGUCUCAGCUGGAAACACUCAAAAGGCAGUGGCCAGAAUCUUCUGGAGGUGUUUUCACUCUGGUGGUUGUCAGCUGGCUGAGCUGGGCAGCUCAGUUGGAGCUGUCAACUGGACAUCCUUCUUUUGUGGCAUCCCCAGGUGAAGAAACUCUGGCACAGAGAGGUCGAGACACUUGUUCAAGGGCACCCAGCUAUCCCAGAAAGUAUGGUUUCAGAGCCCUGCUCCUAACCACUACACAGCUGUCCCUCUGCUGGCCCUCAUUGCUUCACCGGGAUGAGCUGAACAUGGCCAAGGUUGGGUUCUUCCUUGACAUCUACUGCAGGGGUCAACCACAGAGCAGAGCAUGAGGCCACCAAUCUUCCAGGAUGAGCCUCCACAAAGUCUGCGAAGCCACGGGAGGAAUUUGUUUUCCAGGUGCCCAAGGAGCUUGGCAUGAAGCCCAGGUGUGGCUUGACAAGGACAGAGAUCCUGUCUUGUCUCUAUAUACUCUAUCUGGAACAGCGUCUGGCACAUGUUGGUGCUCAACAAAUACAUGAAUGGAAUAAAGGUGUUGGCGGAUAAGAAAAUUCUUACAAGGGGAUCCCUGGGUGUCUUAGCGGUUUAGCGCCUGCCUUCGGCCCAGGGCAUGAUUCUGGGGUCCUGGGAUCCAGUUCCAUGUAGAGCUCCCUGCAUGGGGCCUGCUUCUCCCUCUGCCUG